AAUAUAAAGCUCUAAGCAAGGCAUCUAAUUCCUCUUCUCGACAGUGUGGUAAAUCAGCUGGUUUUGGAUGUAGGCCAAAGAGUGAGCAGCACGACCACCCGGGGGCUGUGCAUUACCCCUCUGCUGUGCUUGCGCUGCAGGUUUGCACUCGGAGAGGCCAGCCAGUGCACAAGAACAUCAAGGAUCUCUCUGAUUUUGCAACCUUCCUCACGUGGGGUAAGCACCAGGCUUUGAAGUGCCUGGGGCACAGUCUUGUUUCCACCAAGUCUUUCUAUUGCUAGUCAGUACACACAGGGCCUGGCUUUGAAAAGAUUGGGAAGGAAUAAGCAAAGGUGAAUCUCUUGAGCUUUAAGAGCAAAGCAGUCUGAGAAGGUUUCUCCAGCUCCCAAAAGCUAAAGGAGGUAUGAGGUGUGAAUAGCACAGUUCUUUCUCCCCUUCGUGCUGGUCAUACUCUGCUACCCCCUAAUCUCGAUGCAGGACUUUUAUGAUUCCCAUACAACCAUCUCAUAUCAAAGCCAAGUGGAUAAAACCCCCUCUACAUCAACAUCCCAAGGAAACAUUCAGGCUAGAGUCCAACAAUACAAACGCCAGCCAGCAAGCUGCUGUUUUCUUAUUAACACUUGUUAUCAGCGGGCUGAGCAUGCUUGGGGAGCAGAGCACAGUGACAGUGCCUUGUCACACUGGCAAGACAGGAUCAUGUUCAGGACUGCGUAAGGUGAAGAGCACACAAGGAAAACUGGCUUGGAUUUUUAGAGAUGUUAAGGCUGCCUUAGUUUGCUCUUCUGAAGGCUGGCUUAUACUGUUCACUUCCACUAUACUAGAAGGAAGCCCGAGUGGAGUGUCUUGUAAACAUCUCCCUGCUCCCCACACAGCGGACUUUUUCUAACCAGCUAAAAUUAGUUUCUUCCUAGGUAAGCUGGUGGCCCCAUUCACUUGGCCUAAAGCAAUGUUUUUCACAAUGUUUAACACACGAUUAGCAAGAUUAACCUGGCAGAGGUUAAAAAUUCCUCUCAGGAGACACACAGGAUGGUGCUUUUCUGUUGUAGUUGGCCUGGGAGGCAGCUAGGCUGGGCCAAGCUGUCAGUGGUAACAGCUUGUGCCCUCCAAGUUCCACCUGCAUUGCUGAAUCCUCACUGGUUUCUCCUGCCUGAUUGUGCUCAAGGCUUUUUGCAUGGCUCUUUGUGCUGAGAUGUGAGAGCUUUUUGUGGCCAAUUGUAGGACAAUUUGUGUUUCUCUCAGGACAAACUAUGAAAAGCCUUUGGAAGGCUACCAGGAUGGGAGCAAUUUGGACUGCUGAGAGGAAGCAGUGGAUAGCAUCUAAGCUUUACUCACACCCGUGAUAAAAAUAUGUCCGGACUUGGGUGUAGAGCUGUCUGUGUAGAUGAUGGGGACAUCUCACGCUAAAUCCUGGGUCAGAAGGAGUCCAGGCUGUGUGCAUGCUUUCAUUGCACA
rnacentral:lncRNA from 1 species